GAUGAACGCUGGCGGCGUGCCUAAUACAUGCAAGUCGAGCGAACGGACGAGAAUCUUGCUUCUCUGAUGUUAGCGGCGGACGGGUGAGUAACACGUGGAUAACCUACCUAUAAGACUGGGAUAACUUCGGGAAACCGGAGCUAAUACCGGAUAAUAUUUUGAACCGCAUGGUUCAAAAGUGAAAGACGGUCUUGCUGUCACUUAUAGAUGGAUCCGCGCUGCAUUAGCUAGUUGGUAAGGUAACGGCUUACCAAGGCAACGAUGCAUAGCCGACCUGAGAGGGUGAUCGGCCACACUGGAACUGAGACACGGUCCAGACUCCUACGGGAGGCAGCAGUAGGGAAUCUUCCGCAAUGGGCGAAAGCCUGACGGAGCAACGCCGCGUGAGUGAUGAAGGUCUUCGGAUCGUAAAACUCUGUUAUUAGGGAAGAACAUAUGUGUAAGUAACUGUGCACAUCUUGACGUUACCUAAUCAGAAAGCCACGGCUAACUACGUG
rnacentral:rRNA from 1 species